GACCUCUUCAUCAGCAAUUUAAUCAAUUUUCAAAAAUUACCGUAUUUUUAAAACAGACAAGAACGAGAGGUCUG
rnacentral:other from 1 species